rnacentral:tRNA from 1 species
AUGGGUGUGGCUCAGUGACAGAGUGCUUGCCUAGCAUGUGUGAGGCACUGGGUUCAAUUCUAAGCACCACAUA